rnacentral:rRNA from 1 species
UUUUGGACAAUGGGGGCAACCCUGAUCCAGCCAUGCCGCGUGCGGGAAGAAGGCCUUCGGGUUGUAAACCGCUUUUAGCCGGGAAGAAAAGGGCACGGAUAACACCCGUGUUUUUUGACGGUACCGGCGGAAUAAGCACCGGCUAACUACGUGCCAGCAGCCGCGGUAAUACGUAGGGUGCGAGCGUUAAUCGGAAUUACUGGGCGUAAAGCGUGCGCAGGCGGUUCGUUGUGUCGGCGGUGAAAGCCCCGGGCUCAACCUGGGAAUGGCCGUUGAAACUGGCGAACUGGAGUAUGGCAGAGGGGGGUGGAAUUCCGCGUGUAGCAGUGAAAUGCGUAGAGAUGCGGAGGAACACCGAUGGCGAAGGCAGCCCCCUGGGCUGACACUGACGCUCAGGCACGAAAGCGUGGGGAGCAAACAGG